rnacentral:rRNA from 1 species
CCUACGGGAGGCAGCAGUGGGGAAUAUUGCACAAUGGGGGAAACCCUGAUGCAGCGACGCCGCGUGAGUGAAGAAGUAUUUCGGUAUGUAAAGCUCUAUCAGCAGGGACGAGACAAGACGGUACCUGACUAAGAAGCCCCGGCUAACUACGGGCCAGCAGCCGCGGUAAUACGUAGGGGGCAAGCGUUAACCGGAAUCACUGGGUGGAAAGGGAGCGUAGACGGCUGUGCAAGCCUGAAGUGAAAGGCGGGGGCCCAACCCCUGGACUGCUUUGGAAACUGUACGGCUGGAGUGCAGGAGAGGGAAGUGGAAUUCCUAGUGUAGCGGUGAAAUGCGUAGAUAUUAGGAGGAACACCAGUGGCGAAGGCGGCUUACUGGACUGUAACUGACGCUGAGGCUCGAAAGCGUGGGGAGCAAACAGGAUUAGAUACCCCAGUAGUC